CGGGUGAGUAACACGUGGGCAACCUGCCCAAAAGAGGGGGAUAACACUUGGAAACAGGUGCUAAUACCGCAUAACCAUAGUUACCGCAUGGUAGCUAUGUAAAAGGUGGCUAUGCUACCGCUUUUGGAUGGGCCCGCGGCGCAUUAGCUAGUUGGUGGGGUAAAGGCUUACCAAGGCAAUGAUGCGUAGCCGAACUGAGAGGUUGAUCGGCCACAUUGGGACUGAGACACGGCCCAAACUCCUACGGAAGGCAGCAG
rnacentral:rRNA from 1 species